AAAAGAAACGAUGCUAUAAGUCUGUUUUCUGUGGCCAAACCAGUGUAUACUUUUGAAACUUAAAGUGAAAUAGGUAUAUAUUUGAUAUUUGUCGAAAGCGAGAAAGAGAGUGCAGAAACAGAAAACAGACCAUAUGUAAGCUGACCUUUUGAAAAGAGACGUGCAAACUGUCCUUUUCAGGACAAAUUUUCAACAUAUCUAAUAAAUAAUAAAAUGUUCUUCCUGUUAAAAUACAUUCCCUUUUCAGGAUAUUGCUAUGAUCGAUUGGAGACAGUAUAAACAUUUACAUACAUAUGUGCAACAUAUAAAACAUACAUAGCAAUGUGUCAGUCCAUUCAGCAAAUGGCGCAAGCAAUUGCGUCAAUCAGAACUAUGUUCAAAACAAGUGACGUGGAAAUUUCCAUAUUUCAAUAUUCGCACGAACAUCUCCAAUAGUCAGCAUAUCUCUAUAAAAGUUUACCAUCUGUGACGUUGUAGAAUUUUACACACGCGCCUGCUCCGUAAACUGCGAAUAUGUCUUGAUUGCCAAUCAUCCAUGUUAAUCCCACAAUUGUAUUGUCCACGGAAAUGGUUUGAUGACUGACAUGCUACGUUCAUGUAACACAAUUAUGUAAUGUGAAAGUUAUAUUUAAAAAAUUAAAAUAAUAUAUAAUAAACAUUUUUAUAAAAA
rnacentral:sRNA from 1 species